rnacentral:tRNA from 1 species
UCUAGCUUAAGAUGAAAGUGUUAGUUUGAAGAACUAAAGAUAUGUGGAUAAUGUGGGGGAAGGCUGU